rnacentral:rRNA from 1 species
CCCUUCGGGGUGUGACUGCGUACCUUUUGUAUAAUGGGUCAGCGACUUAUAUUCUGUAGCAAGGUUAACCGUAUAGGGGAGCCGGAGGGAAACCGAGUCUUAACCGGGCGUUAAGUUGCAGGGUAUAGACCCGAAACCCGGUGAUCUAGCCAUGGGCAGGUUGAAGGUUGGGUAACACUAACUGGAGGACCGAACCGACUAAUGUUGAAAAAUUAGCGGAUGACCUGUGGCUGGGGGUGAAAGGCCAAUCAAACCGGGAGAUAGCUGGUUCUCCCCGAAAGCUAUUUAGGUAGCGCCUCGUGAAUUCAUCUCCGGGGGUAGAGCACUGUUUCGGCUAGGGGGCCAUCCCGGCUUACCAACCCGAUGCAAACUGCGAAUACCGGAGAAUGUUAUCACGGGAGACACACGGCGGGUGCUAACGUCCGUCGUGAAGAGGGAAACAACCCAGACCGCCAGCUAAGGUCCCAAAGUCAUGGUUAAGUGGGAAACGAUGUGGGAAGGCCCAGACAGCCAGGAUGUUGGCUUAGAAGCAGCCAUCAUUUAAAGAAAGCGUAAUAGCUCACUGGUCGAGUCGGCCUGCGCGGAAGAUGUAACGGGGCUAAACCAUGCACCGAAGCUGCGGCAGCGAACGUAUCACCCAAGACAACUUUACGGAGUUGACGAUUGACGGAGCGAAGCGACGUCAAAGCGUUCAUUAAAGUCGAGUUGGCUUAGGGAUACGUUCGUUGGGUAGGGGAGCGUUCUGUAAGCCUGUGAAGGUGUGUCGUGAGGCAUGCUGGAGGUAUCAGAAGUGCGAAUGCUGACAUAAGUAACGAUAAAGCGGGUGAAAAGCCCGCUCGCCGGAAGACCAAGGGUUCCUGUCCAACGUUAAUCGGGGCAGGGUGAGUCGACCCCUAAGGCGAGGCCGAAAGGCGUAGUCGAUGGGAAACGGGUUAAUAUUCCCGUACUUGGUGUUACUGCGAAGGGGGGACGGAGAAGGCUAUGUUGGCCGGGCGACGGUUGUCCCGGUUUAAGCGUGUAGGUGUGUGUUCCAGGUAAAUCCGGUUCACUUUAACACUGAGGCGUGACGACGAGGCACUACGGUGCUGAAGCAACAAAUGCCCUGCUUCCAGGAAAAGCCUCUAAGCAUCAGGUAACACGAAAUCGUACCCCAAACCGACACAGGUGGUCAGGUAGAGAAUACCAAGGCGCUUGAGAGAACUCGGGUGAAGGAACUAGGCAAAAUGGUGCCGUAACUUCGGGAGAAGGCACGCUGACACGUAGGUGAAGUGAUUUACUCAUGGAGCUGAAGUCAGUCGAAGAUACCAGCUGGCUGCAACUGUUUAUUAAAAACACAGCACUGUGCAAACACGAAAGUGGACGUAUACGGUGUGACGCCUGCCCGGUGCCGGAAGGUUAAUUGAUGGGGUCAGCGCAAGCGAAGCUCCUGAUCGAAGCCCCGGUAAACGGCGGCCGUAACUAUAACGGUCCUAAGGUAGCGAAAUUCCUUGUCGGGUAAGUUCCGACCUGCACGAAUGGCGUAAUGAUGGCCAGGCUGUCUCCACCCGAGACUCAGUGAAAUUGAACUCGCUGUGAAGAUGCAGUGUACCCGCGGCAAGACGGAAAGACCCCGUGAACCUUUACUAUAGCUUGACACUGAACAUUGAGCCUUGAUGUGUAGGAUAGGUGGGAGGCUUUGAAGUGUGGACGCCAGUCUGCAUGGAGCCGACCUUGAAAUACCACCCUUUAAUGUUUGAUGUUCUAACGUGGACCCGUAAUCCGGGUUGCGGACAGUGUCUGGUGGGUAGUUUGACUGGGGCGGUCUCCUCCUAAAGAGUAACGGAGGAGCACGAAGGUUGGCUAAUCCUGGUCGGACAUCAGGAGGUUAGUGCAAUGGCAUAAGCCAGCUUGACUGCGAGCGUGACGGCGCGAGCAGGUGCGAAAGCAGGUCAUAGUGAUCCGGUGGUUCUGAAUGGAAGGGCCAUCGCUCAACGGAUAAAAGGUACUCCGGGGAUAACAGGCUGAUACCGCCCAAGAGUUCAUAUCGACGGCGGUGUUUGGCACCUCGAUGUCGGCUCAUCACAUCCUGGGGCUGAAGUAGGUCCCAAGGGUAUGGCUGUUCGCCAUUUAAAGUGGUACGCGAGCUGGGUUUAGAACGUCGUGAGACAGUUCGGUCCCUAUCUGCCGUGGGCGCUGGAGAACUGAGGGGGGCUGCUCCUAGUACGAGAGGACCGGAGUGGACGCAUCACUGGUGUUCGGGUUGUCAUGCCAAUGGCACUGCCCGGUAGCUAAAUGCGGAAGAGAUAAGUGCUGAAAGCAUCUAAGCACGAAACUUGCCCCGAGAUGAGUUCUCCCUGAGACUUAGAGUCUCCUGAAGGAACGUUGAAGACGACGACGUUGAUAGGCCGGGUGUGUAAGCGCAGCGAUGCGUUGAGCUAACCGGUACUAAUGAACCGUGAGGCUUAACCUUACA